AAGUCGAGCGGACAGGAUGGGAGCUUGCUCCCUGAUGUUAGCGGCGGACGGGUGAGUAACACGUGGGUAACCUGCCUGUAAGACUGGGAUAACUCCGGGAAACCGGGGCUAAUACCGGAUGCUUGUUUGAACCGCAUGGUUCAAACAUAAAAGGUGGCUUCGGCUACCACUUACAGAUGGACCCGCGGCGCAUUAGCUAGUUGGUGAGGUAAUGGCUCACCAAGGCAACGAUGCGUAGCCGACCUGAGAGGGUGAUCGGCCACACUGGGACUGAGACACGGCCCAGACUCCUACGGGAGGCAGCAGUAGGGAAUCUUCCGCAAUGGACGAAAGUCUGACGGAGCAACGCCGCGUGAGUGAUGAAGGUUUUCGGAUCGUAAAGCUCUGUUGUUAGGGAAGAACAAGUACCGUUCGAAUAGGGCGGUACCUUGACGGUACCUAACCAGAAAGCCACGGCUAACUACGUGCCAGCAGCCGCGGUAAUACGUAGGUGGCAAGCGUUGUCCGGAAUUAUUGGGCGUAAAGGGCUCGCAGGCGGUUCCUUAAGUCUGAUGUGAAAGCCCCCGGCUCAACCGGGGAGGGUCAUUGGAAACUGGGGAACUUGAGUGCAGAAGAGGAGAGUGGAAUUCCACGUGUAGCGGUGAAAUGCGUAGAGAUGUGGAGGAACACCAGUGGCGAAGGCGACUCUCUGGUCUGUAACUGACGCUGAGGAGCGAAAGCGUGGGGAGCGAACAGGAUUAGAUACCCUGGUAGUCCACGCCGUAAACGAUGAGUGCUAAGUGUUAGGGGGUUUCCGCCCCUUAGUGCUGCAGCUAACGCAUUAAGCACUCCGCCUGGGGAGUACGGUCGCAAGACUGAAACUCAAAGGAAUUGACGGGGGCCCGCACAAGCGGUGGAGCAUGUGGU
rnacentral:rRNA from 1 species